rnacentral:rRNA from 1 species
CAGUCGCCGCGGUAAUGCGAAGGGUGCAAGCGUUACUCGGAAUUACUGGGCGUAAAGCGUGCGUAGGUGGUGGUUUAAGUCCGUUGUGAAAGCCCUGGGCUCAACCUGGGAAUUGCAGUGGAUACUGGGUCACUAGAGUGUGGUAGAGGAUAGUGGAAUUUCCGGUGUAGCAGUGAAAUGCGUAGAGAUCGGAAGGAACAUCUGUGGCGAAGGCGACUAUCUGGGCCAACACUGACACUGAGGCACGAAAGCGUGGGGAGCAAACAGGAUUAGAUACCCCCGUAGUCCCUGUCUCUUAUAC